GUUGGUCUAGUGGUUAGAGCGUCCACCUCGGAUGCGGGAGGUCGCUGGUUCGAACCCCGGUUGAGAUAUA